UACGUAGGAUGCAAGCGUUGUCCGGAAUUAUUGGGCGUAAAGAGCGAGCAGGCGGUUUGGAAAGUUGGACGUGAAAUUUUAGGGCUUAACCCUAAAGGGUCGUCCAAAACUCCCAGACUAGAGUGCAGGAAAGGAAAGCGGAAUUCCCGGUGUAGAGGUGAAAUUCGUAGAUAUUCGCAAGAACACCAGUGGCGAAGGCGGCUCACUGGCCC
rnacentral:rRNA from 1 species